UCUACAAGAGAGUCAGGAUGACUUACAGGG
rnacentral:piRNA from 1 species